rnacentral:lncRNA from 1 species
GGAAAUACACAGAGAAACUGGCAGAAAAUGAAUCCAUGGAGAUUUUGACAAGACCCCUCUAAGCAAGAUCUAAAGACAACAUCAGAUGGAGUUGUCUGUGGAUUAUGUACGUAUUGUCAGAGACAUUCAUGCAAAAUAAUGGGUUUGGUGGUGACAGGGUUACAGCCACAACAAGAAAGUGAGAUACAGUUAGUGGAAUUCUCAAGUGCUCUCUUAGGAUGAAUAAACCUUAAGAAAGAACACCCUGCUUUUGUAACAGAUGAAGAAAGGCUAUGGAAGAGACAGAUUCUGGAGGAUGCAGCAUUCAAGGUUCUAUCUUGGAAGCAGAGACUGUGCCCUCACCAGAUGCUGAACCUGCUGAGCACCCUGAUCUUCCACUUCACCUUCAUCAGAACUACUGCUGUGAUUGCACCUGCCAUCUUAUGCAGAAAUGACCUGAAGACAGACUGAAACAACGUGUUCUACAGCCUGAAAAUAUCUACCUUGACUUACAGUUUUAUUAAUGCUGGUGUGAUCAGACUGGACAAAAAUUAGCAUAUGUUAUUAACUGAUCUAAUUCAAGUGCCAAUUCUUAAUAGAAACACAAAACAAUAAAAGCAAUUCAGAAAAUAUUUACUAUUUGAUUUCUUCAAGCUCCAAACAGGCUUGUGCUUAGCUGUAGAAACUUGAAUAUAUACAAAUCUACAUGGAUAGAAUUCUUAGUCUUCUUUGGGCCAGGUGUGUUAGCCCCUUGGGAAAGGAUAAAGUUUUGGAAUAUAUUUUUAUUCAUGAACCUGCUCUCUUUAAGACUUCUGAGGAAAAGAGCUGCUGGGCAGAUGAGUAGAAUAUGUUACUACUGUUCCGACAUGUCUACCCAUCAAAACUAGCUGAUACAGUACACUUUAAUGACCCUUCUAUAGUCAAAACUGACAUUGACAUUGACAUUAACAGAAAAGAUUUGGGACAAAGAACUGUGUUCAUGCAGCAAAUCAGCCUCAAACUUCACCACAAGCUGCACAUUUUAUGCUACUGUAUUCUGCUUAAGCACUUAUUUGUAUUUAUGUAAACUGAAUGAUCCUUUAAUACUUAAGGACUUUAUUCUGGGUGAGUUAGAAUCACACUGUUUUGGCAGGAAAACUCUUUGAUAGGAAAAACUGUAUGGCUUGAUAAUUUAAGAGCUAAAAGUAGCCAAAUCAGGAACUACUGAAAUUCUUCAGUAUCUGUUAGAAUAUCUCCUGUUUGAGCCAUGUUUGUAAAUGAUGUUCAAAGGCAUUUCAAAAGCAUGUAAAUUAAAAAAACAAUUCAUUU